rnacentral:rRNA from 1 species
GACGAACGCUGGCGGCGUGCUUAACACAUGCAAGUCGAACGGAAAGGCCCUGCUUUUGUGGGGUGCUCGAGUGGCGAACGGGUGAGUAACACGUGAGUAACCUGCCCUUGACUUUGGGAUAACUUCAGGAAACUGGGGCUACUAUCGGAUAGGAGCUCCUGCUGCAUGGUGGGGGUUGGAAAGUUUCGGCGGUUGGGGAUGGACUCGCGGCUUAUCAGCUUGUUGGUGGGGUAGUGGCUUACCAAGGCUUUGACGGGUAGCCGGCCUGAGAGGGUGACCGGCCACAUUGGGACUGAGAUACGGCCCAGACUCCUACGGGAGGCAGCAGUGGGGAAUAUUGCACAAUGGGCGGAAGCCUGAUGCAGCAACGCCGCGUGCGGGAUGACGGCCUUCGGGUUGUAAACCGCUUUCGCCUGUGACGAAGCGUGAGUGACGGUAAUGGGUAAAGAAGCACCGGCUAACUACGUG